rnacentral:rRNA from 1 species
UGAGUAACACGUAUGCAACCUGCCUGCCACAGCCGGAUAAUCGGGAGAAAUUCCGUCUAAUACGGCAUAAUGCAUCGACGGGACAUCCUGUUGGUGCCAAAGGUUAAUUCCGGUGGCGGAUGGGCAUGCGUCGCAUUAGUUAGUUGGCGGUGUAACGGACCACCGAGGCGACGAUGCGUAGGGGUUCUGAGAGGAAGGCCCCCCACACUGGUACUGAGACACGGACCAGACUCCUACGGGAGGCAGCAG